AGGCGCUGGUAGAGCACCACCUUAGUGUCUGUUCCUGCCCACCACAUCCAGAUCUGCUCCCCCAUGCACCACCUUUGCUCCAGCAAGUCAGUUAACCCCUAGGACAGCCAGCAGCAUCGGGAGCCUCAGUGUUCCUCGGACAUGAUGGACCUCCUACUACUGCUCACCUCCACACUUCUGUCUAGCUACUUCCAUCCCGGGAUAGUGGUGGACGCACAGCAACCAUUCACGAUAAAAGACAUCAUCCUGUCCAUUGAGCCCAGUAAUGAUGUGAGUCGGGACACUAAUGUGACUGUAAGAUGCAAGGCCAUUGUCAGCAGCUCAGGGAAGGAGGUGCUGAGUCGUGAGUACACUAUAUACAAGGACAGCAACGAGGUCUACAUCAAGAACUCCAGCACUUCGGAGGAUAUUCUGUACCAGUUGCCCGAGGCCAGAGUCUCCAACACUGGCAAAUAUAAGUGCAAGGUUAACAUUGAGGGCAAAGAGAAGACCAGCGAACCUGAAAAACUCACAGUAACAGGCCUGUCAAAACCAGUUCUCCACCUUAACAAGGGCGUGGUCAUUGAAGAGGAUGAGGUAACAGCCAGGUGUAUGGCGCCGGGCGAGACAGGCUCCAUUUUCUUCUACUUCUACAUGGACUCCAAAGUGAUCUGGGAGUCUCUGGGCAACUCCAACCAGUUAGAUGCCAAGUUUCAUUUCAGCAGCAUUGGUGUCCACAAAAUUCACUGUACCUAUACAGUCAUCAUAAUGCCGGACUUCUUCAAGUCCAAAGAAAGCAACACUGUCACUAUUUCAGUCAAAGAGCUUGCCAUCACACCAGUUUUGGAGGUUUUCCCUCAGUCCAAGAUCUAUGAAGGAGACCAUCUCAACAUCUUGUGCACCAUCAGAAAUUUUCUGCAGAGCUCUGAAAGUAGGCCUAUCAAACUCUUCCUGAGCCAGGGGAGCCAGCUCCUUAGCAGUCAAAACACUACUUUCAACCACAGCAUGGUCGCACUGGCAAAGAACCCCGGGGAUUUUGAUUGCAGAUUGGAGAUAGGCCGUGUAGUAAAAGUCGCCAAACAGGCAGUGGCAGUGACUGAGCUGUUUUCAGCACCCACUCUCACCAUGUCUCCUGCUGAAGUGUUUCAAAAGGAAUAUAUGACGCUAACCUGCAAAAGUGAGAGUUACGCCUCUGAAAGACUCAACAGGGCAGAGCUGACUUACACUCUUGAGCCACCUGACAGCCCACUGUUCCCCAUGAAGCCUGGGGUAUUUUCUGGCAAGGCCCUUCAGUAUGAUUUCAACUAUACCUGUGUAGCUCAAGCCAAGGGCAUCAUGAAACACAGUGAAACCCUGACUGUACAACCUAAAGUUUCUGUCUCCAUUCCAAAGAUCUCCGUGGAUGGCAAAGCGGUCCUAGGUCAACCCUUCAAGAUCCGCUGUCAGUCAGACACUGGCAGCUUGCCCAUCAACUACACCCUGCUGAAGGAUUACAGCCAGCUGAGCACAGCCAGCGUCAAGCUGCCCACUCAGCAAGCUCUCUUCACAGUCACCAUCAACAAACCGGAGGAAAUAAGCAAGUACAUGUGCGAGGCUAAGAAUAAUCACAAGGAAGCCCCGCUCAGUAAAAGACUCAACGCUACUGUUAUAGAGCCUCUGAGGGACCUGACUCUGACCGUCAUCCCCCACAUACAAGAAAUCUCUGAGGGAGAUAAGCUCUACCUGAUAUGUGGUACUAAAGGCACACCACCAGUCACCUUUAAGUGGUACCGUGUUGGCAACAAACUGCCGCUGUUCACCACCACCUCUGACAAGAACAGCUCGGACUACUGGGUCCCCAAGUUGUCCAAAGAGCACAGCGGCACAUACUACUGCGAGGCUGACAACCACGCCAAUAUUGUUGUCAGCAGUGAGAAGGUCGACAUAGAGGUACGCCUGGCGUUGUGGAAGAAAGCGGUGAUCGGGGGGGUUUGUCUGCUAGUGGUGUCAGUGCUGGUGGUAGUGUGUACGCUGUACUUCAGAUCCAAGAGAGGUAAAAGAGAAGCAGCUGCUGAAUUGUCAGUGUGAGUUGGCUCGAUUACUUGCUUCCUCUGCAUAUGACAGAUACUGUAGAAGUUAGUGACAGCGUAUCUAGCUUUAUUAGCUGGCUUAGAUGGCUGAUGGUCCAUGAUAUUGUUAAGUUUCUGUUAUUUAUAGCCUUUAAAGAGCCAUCCUGGUUGUUUUGCAUGUUUCUACUGUAAAAAGCACAGACUUCAUAAUCGCAAAGUUUUUAGGUUAAAUUCCCACCUUCCAGGCAGUAAUUAGUUGAAUAUUGGCGUGAUAUGAGGAUCAACUUUAGUAUUCGAGACAGGAAACACUGAGUAUAUGGAGAUUUUUAAUUUUUGUUGUGUAAUCUCCACUUGGUAAUGCUUUUCCAAAUGGAUACCAAUCGAAAACUCCCAAUCUCUAGUUUGUUCGUGAAGGCUCUUACAUCGACGAUUUGAGAACCAGCUGUUGAAAAAUGUCAUUCUCAAGAUGGUUGCCUGGCAACCUCACAGUGAUGACAAGACUCCAGGAUGUUACUGCUCCUGGCCAAGAAAUAGUCACCUUUGUAUUCUAUAAGAUUGACAUUUUUAUAUUUCAGUUUUUGUGCAGACUAAACAAACCAAACAUAACAUGUUACUCAGUGACCUUUAGAGGUGCUGGCAGAUGAAUUUUGUUACGUUUGGACAGAAAAAGGCUAGCUGUUUACCCCAUAUUUCUAGCUAAGCUAGGCUAACCAUCUACAGCAGACAUGCAAGUGGUAUUGAUGUUCUCGUGUAACUCUCAGCUAGAAGGCAAAUAAGCAUGUUUCCCAAAAUGUCAAAUUAUUACUUUGAAGUACACAGAAUACUUUAUACAUCCAAAGAGGGGAAAUCGCAGUGUUACAGCAGCUAAGUCAGCUAAAUAAACUAGUUAAUAAGAAACAAAAAACUAUAAUAUGAGAAAAAAACUAUGGACAGUAAGCAAAAGCUGAGAAUAGAGGCUAAACGUAGGAACACAAUUUCUCAAUAAACACUGUACAGUGGUAGCACCUAGUGAUAUACUACACAUUAGUGGAGCUAGUUAAGUAUUAAUAAUGUUAUAUGCUGUACAGUAAUGUGCUGUAUUGUACUUUGAUGUUAAAAUAGAGUUACUCUAAUUAUACAUUAACUGUUUGUAGACGCAAAGGUAGAAAUCUGUUAUGUAAUACAAAAAAGAAAAAAACUAAACAAAAAAGCAAAAAAACUCCCAAACUUUAAAGGUACCCUGGGGAGGUUUUGACCAUUAGUGUCACUGUGGAGCAAUGUUUUGAUGAGUGGGUCCCCUUUUAUUUGUAUGUUGUGCACAUUGGGCACAUUCCCACCAUUGGUUUCACGCUAUUUCUUUAAUCUACAAGUGCCAGUAAUGCGCCAAGAAAAGUAACAAUUCCCCAGAACAAUAUAGGGAAAAAAAAGAUCACAAGCUAGCAAACAUGGAUGUAAACAAUGAGGGUUUUCAUACUUGUGUUUUUGAGGAAGAAAGUACAAUCCAAACAUUAUAGGCCUCAAUUAUACAAAUAAUCCAUUUUUGUUGAAAUCGACUGGUGUAAACAUAACUUUGUUUUGAAGAACACCUAUUACACAACCUGCUGCAACAGGCUGCCACUCAUGUGGCGCCAUGUUAACAGGCUCCAACAUGGAAAACCACCAGUGUGGUUUUUGAAGUCCAUCAUUAGCUUGUAUCAGAAUUUAUUUUAUGUAGUUCUUUUUUAUUUUUUUUGUGUUUUUAUUUUGGUUUGCUUUUUAGUAUAUUUUUCCUUGACUUUACUGCUGCCCAGGCUGACUUUAUUUUCACCAUUUCUCAGAAAGCCUUCGAGGGCUCUUUAAUCUAAAACAUGACACAGAGGUUUAUAACACAGCCACAGGCGCAGCGCCACUCUAUGAUGGCAUGGAGGGGAGAGUGAGGGACGCGAGAUAGCGUGGCAUCGCUUCCCACUGCCAUCAGCAACAGGAGCAGCUACAGUAUCCCUGCCACAGUGUAGAGAUGCCCUGCGGUGGGAGGGACUUGAAUUCAAUUUUUAAAAAACUUUGAAAGAAAAGGAAGUUCUAAGGAAAGACUUUGAGAGCAAAAAUGGAAAGAAAAAAAACAGGCAGUGAUCCUUUUUGUGAUGCCAAGUGUUGUAGGAUUUGGACAUUUUUUUCACUGAUGAGUUUUCUCAGUGAAAAGGAGGGGUGUUUUUAUGACAAGAUAUAAAUCAGGACCCGCUGCUCCCUCUCCCCUCCUCCUGCAAUCUAGAUGGCCUUUGAUUUUAUACUUACCAUUACUGUCUUUGUCCUUUGUUUCUUCAUUCCCUAUGUCCGUGGGAUUGCAUGUCCUUUUUUGUUGCAACUGCUCUAUUUGUCUGAUGUGCAUGUAUAAAUAGGUUUGGUCACAGAUUAAUUUGUAUAUACAUUUUAUCACCAUCACAGGAAAUGUGUGUAUAUAUUUUUGGUUGAUCCCUUGACUGGAAGAGACACAUGUAGAAUAAAGACAUUGGUUUUAUUUAGAAGUGUGUCAGUACCUUUCAUUUUAUUCCAGCUAUUGAGUCUUAAGCUAAAUUCAUAUAUCGUAAAAACUUUUUUAUCAUGCAUUAAUUUUCUGUUAUGUUUCGGAAUGGUGAGACCAUCCUAAGCACAAGUCCAAGAGAAGAAUACCAGCAUAAUAUGAAGUCGAUUCAUUUCCUAAAAAUGUAACACACAACAGAGAAUUCCUUGCAAAGUUGAAACAAUGGAGUCUGCAAGAAAUUUCCUCUGUUGGAGCAUGUUGGGGGGGGUCUGUGUUGACCAAACCGGUGAUGUUGGGGAGGGUGGGGCUUAUUUUGUUUCAGGCCAGAUUAGUCUGAAUGCAUGUAGCAGGUGGAGGAAAUUAAUCACACAAGCUUUAAUUGAGCUGUGUGUAAGAUUACAUUACCAACUGGGAAGUUGUUUUUGCCAGAAUUUAUUGUGCAGCCGUUGCUGAAUUAACAACCUAUUGUGCACCAAGGCAGUGGAAGAUUUCUGUGUGUACCAGAUGAAAACUUAAAAUGUGCUCCUUUGUUGCUGGUUUUGUUUCAAGAGUAACAAAGCCUCCACUGAAGGCCAAGUUGACAUGUCCCACAAAAAAAGUGUCUCUCAUCAUUCCCUUAUAGCCUUUAGAAUGGAAUAUAAUCUUGAUAUCUGACUUUUGGUCAUUUAAAAAUAGUUUGACAUUUUGGGAAAAAUCUUUCUCACUGAGAAUUAGAUGAGAAGAUUGAUGAUACUUUCGAGUCUGACUGUUUACUAUGAAAUGGUUAGCUUAGUUUAGCUUAGCAUAAAGACCAGAAAGAAGCAACUGUCAGCAUGGCUCUGUCCAAAAGUGACCCCCCUGAUGUAUUUGCACUUAAAUAUUUGUACGAAUUAUACAAGAUGGCACAUGGCCAUUAGCAAAAUUUAGGU